UUAGACAAUUUAGUGUGUGAUAUGAAUGCCUUGAAUGAUAUAAAAAGCAAUAAAUAUGGUCAGUAAUGGAGUAUAAGCCCAAGCCAGCCCAGCAUCAUUGAACAGUUUGUUUACACAGUGGCCCACCAGCUGUCCUUCCGCUGCUCCUUCUCUUCCUCUUAACAGGAUGGCCAUGCUGGAGCCUGUGGAGGUGGUGGCCGGGAGGUUCCGUGGCUGCCUGGUGGGCGCCGUCUUGGGGGACUGUCUUGGGGCACCAUUUGAGAUGCAACACAAACCUUCACCCUCAGUGCUUAAUUCAUACUUUAAGAGGCUCCAUGACCCUAAUCUCGAAGUGCCAUACAAGGAGUACACUGAUGACACUGCCAUGACCAGGUGUGUGGCUCUUUCCCUCAUCGAGAAGAAAGGGUUCGUUGCCAAGGACAUGGCCAAACGGUUUGUUAAAGAGUACUUUGCUGAGCCAAGGCGAAAGUAUGGUGGCACUGUUGUUUUGGUGUUCAAUGGGCUCCGAGCCACCAAGUUCAAGGAUGUGUUUGCCCCGGCAGCAUCGCGGUUUGAUGGUCGGGGCUCCUAUGGGAAUGGAGGUGCCAUGCGAGCUGCUCCAAUUGCUCUUUUCUGCCACAAUUCCUCUGAACAAGAGCUUGUGGACACAGCCAAGAACAUGGCCCUUAUCACACAUGCCAACAAGAUGGGCUACAAUGGAACCAUUCUUCAGUGCCUGGCAGUGCACGAGGCCCUCCAAACAACCACAGAAUUAAAUGGUGUCAAGUUCAUAGAUAAACUUAUAGAAAAAAUGAGAAUAGUGGAACAGCCUGGAGAAGAUGACAUAACAGAUGAGGGAGAUGAGCCAUUUUUGUAUGUCAAGAAGUUGGAGAAAGUGUUGGAGCUGCUGGAACACGGGAACUCUGUUGAGGGAGAGCAGGUGGAGGAAGAGCUGGGUGUGCAGGUUUUGGCCCAUAGAUCUGUGCCAACUGCCAUUUACUCCUUCCUCAGAGCUUUAAAUCCCAUCCCAAGCAUUGAGACUGACAAUGAGUUCCAGAGGACCCUGCAGUAUGCCAUCAGCUUGGGUGGAGACACAGACACCAUAGCAUCCAUGGCAGGAAGCAUUGCAGGGGCUUAUUAUGGAAUAGAGGAAGUUCCCCAAACCCUCCAGAGACACUGUGAAGGUGUGUCGGAUGCCAUACAGCAGGCAGACAAACUCUACCAGCUUGUGAAGUCCAGGACGUCAGCAUCUUGUAAGAGAAUUUUUUUUCCCUCUGGAUCAAACUCCUGUACUUCUCUUUAGUAGCUCAGAUUUGCAUUGCAGUAAAUAUUAUGUAUCUGUUAGGUGCUGUACAUUCAAGCUUGCCAACCUGUCACACUUUGGCCUUACAUUGAUCCCGGUGCAAUGCAUGUCCUCAUCAGAUUCUCAGUGAGGACUAUGAGGGUUUGAUCGUUUACAUGCACUUUUACAGAUUAAUUAAGGUCAAACCCAUUUUGAAGGAUAAGCAUCAUGAUAGUGGUUUGCAUCCUGCAAAGGUUCUGUAUUAUAAUAACCUGAAAUGGGAAACUUUUACUACCUAUAGAAAUGGAAGUAUUUCUUGUGCAAUCACCAGUCAUUGUAAUAAUGCAUCUGACCUUUCGAAUCAUGGUUGACACACAAAAUAGCAAGGUUUUACUGAGGUGGACAAUGAGACAAUGGGACAAUUACUAAAGCACAAACCGUUAAGUGGUUGUCAUACUGGUAGAGGAAAUUAGGUCAGUGUGUAUUGUCCAAAAUACCACCUUACUGUAUCUCCCAUACAAUCACAGCAUGUCAUGAAGCACAUGAGAAAAUAAUAAUUCAGACCAGGAAAGAGUUUUACUGGCGCUGGGGAUUGAACCCGCGACCAGCGAGAUGGGAAAGCCACUCCUUAACCAGUCAGCCAAAGAGGUACCCCACUCACAGAGUGAGUUAUGGGAGGCCCUCCCAUCAGGUAGGACAGGCACUACAAGUGGCAGGAGUGAGUGUAGUAUGUUAUGAAUGAUAUGACCUCAUCCAAAAAGGGGUUACAUAUGGUGCUUGUUUAUGGUCACCUGCUUGAGCACAGGUAGAUUAAACAAACAAUGGAAAGGAAGAUCAAAGCUGGCAAUGUCUCAUCCAUGCUGCUUUUAGAUGCACUGAAAACUCAUUAUCUAUGUUAGCAGCUUGCCUUUGUUAUCACAAAUUGUAGCAGUGACCCCUGUGGCCUCAAUGUAUCACUGUGAUAGUGCUCCAAGAAGCAAUGUGUGUUGUAGUGUGGUGCAGGAAUCGAAGGUACCUCGUCUUAGCAUUAUUGUCAAGGAUUUAAUGAGCUACCAUCAGCUUUAGUGUGACUCAGGGAUCCAAGGUACUUAGGUGUUAUAGUGACAGUGAUCUAAGGCACCUCCAUCUGAGUCAUUAGUAUUACCUGGCCUCCACUGGUCAGUGCUAGGAUAUCAGUUCAAUUAAAUUUAUCAUGGGAUUAAAUAAAAGAUCUUAGGGACCUGAAUUUGUGCUAUUGUAUGACAAGAAUCACUACCCAGCGUAGCAUCCUCUAGUCAGUGAUGGGCACGGUUCCGCUAAUUCGCUAAUUAGUGAAGCUAACUAUUUCGUUAGUUGAUUCAUACAGGUUUGUUCUUGUCUGUUGUGGGCAGACACAGUAUCAGUUGAGCCACUUGGCGCAAUAACUCCAGGGCUUCCACUAUUGGGCAAGUUACGCUUUAAAGUAGGCUAAUUGGACAAUCAUUAGGGGAACUUUUUGGUAUUUUAGGGUAAUGCAUCUUCCAUUUCCAACCCUUUGAACUCGGGAUUUAAUUAUAUGAAUGCGAUAUAUUCCACCUGACAAGAAAUAAACUUAAAAUACUAAUAAAAAUAAAAGUGUCAGUUAUUGAAAAAGUAAAAAAAGUGUAAAUUUGUGGUAAAUCUUGGGUAAAAUAUACAGAUCUAGGAUAAACUGGA